rnacentral:snRNA from 1 species
GAAUGUGAGGGUGAUAUGGCUGUGACAUCUGCCAUCUGCUGAUUGUGACAUCAGUCAGCCCUGUUGAUCACUAGGGCUGAUUCAGCUGAUAUGACUGGCUACAAGGUGUCCUCCCUCCCUCCUUGAUCCAUGUGUGUCCCUCUUGAAGCUGUGCUCUCAGCUAAAGAAGAUACCUAUGUCCUUUUAUAGAGGAGAACCAUUCUUUGGACAAGGGUACAUGAGUAGCUGUGCUCCCCUGCUAGAACCCCUACUUAAAGUAUUAAUAGUAACAGUGUACUGAGUGACUAUAGCAUGGAGAAGGGACAUAAAUGACAGCAACACCAUAAAGGAUGAGUGGGAGGAAUUCGUAUAGGAUGUUCCUGUACUCU